rnacentral:rRNA from 1 species
AACGAACGCUGGCGGCAGGCCUAACACAUGCAAGUCGAGCGAGGACUUCGGUCCUAGCGGCGGACGGGUGAGUAACGCGUGGGAACGUGCCCCUUGGUACGGAAUAGCCCCGGGAAACUGGGAGUAAUACCGUAUGAGCUCUACGGAGGAAAGAUUUAUCGCCAAGGGAUCGGCCCGCGUUGGAUUAGGUAGUUGGUGGGGUAAUGGCCUACCAAGCCGACGAUCCAUAGCUGGUUUGAGAGGAUGAUCAGCCACACUGGGACUGAGACACGGCCCAGACUCCUACGGGAGGCAGCAGUGGGGAAUCUUAGACAAUGGGCGCAAGCCUGAUCUAGCCAUGCCGCGUGAGCGAUGAAGGCCUUAGGGUUGUAAAGCUCUUUCAGCUGGGAAGAUAAUGACUGUACCAGCAGAAGAAGCCCCGGCUAACUCCGUGCCAGCAGCCGCCGCCGUAA